UACGGGGGGGGCAAGCGUUGUUCGGAAUUACUGGGCGUAAAGGGCUCGUAGGCGGCCAACUAAGUCAGACGUGAAAUCCCUCGGCUUAACCGGGGAACUGCGUCUGAUACUGGAUGGCUUGAGUUUGGGAGAGGGAUGUAGAAUUCCAGGUGUAGCGGUGAAAUGCGUAGAUAUCUGGAGGAAUACCGGUGGCGAAGGCGGCAUCCUGGACCAAUACUGACGCUGAGGCGCGAAAGCUAGGGGAGCAAACGGG
rnacentral:rRNA from 1 species